AAGUUCUCCAGAAUUUGAAUGGGAUAGUCUUGACGACCUUUCGGAUUUUUCAGACGCAGAGAGCUGUCUCCAAAAUGAGGAAUCUGUGCCUGAGACAAAAAUGAUGCAGUUAGUGGCUAUGGGAUUCUCCAUCGGCGAAGUUUCAGCUGCCAUCAACUCAUCUGAUCCAGAUACCUCUAUUGCAGAUCUUAUGGAU